rnacentral:rRNA from 1 species
ACCAGACUCCUACGGGAGGCAGCAGUGGGGGAUAUUGCACAAUGGGGGGAACCCUGAUGCAGCGACGCCGCGUGGGUGAAGAAGCGCCUCGGCGCGUAAAGCCCUGUCAGCAGGGAAGAAAAUGACGGUACCUGAAGAAGAAGCCCCGGCUAACUACGUGCCAGCAGCCGCGGUAAUACGUAGGGGGCAAGCGUUAUCCGGAUUUACUGGGUGUAAAGGGGGCGCAGACGGCGAUGCAAGCCAGGAGUGAAAGCCCGGGGCCCAACCCCGGGACUGCUCUUGGAACUGCGUGGCUGGAGUGCAGGAGGGGCAGGCGGAAUUCCUGGUGUAGCGGUGAAAUGCGUAGAUAUCAGGAGGAACACCGGUGGCGAAGGCGGCCUGCUGGACUGCAACUGACGUUGAGGCCCGAAGGCGUGGGGAGCAAACAGGAUUAGAUACCCGGGUAAG